AAGACUGGGUGCGGUGGCUUACACCUGUAAUCCCAGCACAUUGGGAGGCCGAGGUGGGCAGAUCACUUGAGGUCAGCCUGACCAACAUGGUGAAGCCCUGUCUCUACUAAUAAUACAAAAAUUAGCUGGGGGUGGUGGCACGCACCUGUAAUCCCAGCUACUUGGGAGGCUGAGGCAGGAGAAUCGCUGGAACCUGGGAGGCGGAGGUUGCGGUGAGUUGAGAUCAUGCCAUUGCACCCCAGCCCAGGCGACAAGAGCGAAACUCCAUCUCCAAAAAAAGAAACCCAAGUUCAUGUGAGGGCAGCACGCGAUGACUGGUCUGGGAAGAACUGGCCAUUCCUUGGGCCUCCUGGCCCCUUGGUGCUGUCUGGCCCAGUGUCCACAGUGCCAGGGCUGCAGUGACAGCUUUUUAUCAUUACAGGUGUAGGUGGAGCUUUUGCUGGAAUCCCAGGAGUUGGACCCUUUGCGGGACCGCAACCUGGAGUCCCACUGGGGUAUCCCAUCAAGGCCCCCAAGCUGCCUGGUGGCUAUGGACUGCCCUACACCACAGGGAAACUGCCCUAUGG
rnacentral:sRNA from 1 species